rnacentral:rRNA from 1 species
AUGGAUAUGGCGCACGAGAGGGACUCGAGCAGCGAGGAGGAGGUGAUGGCCGGCGACCUCCGCCGCGGGCCGUGGACGGUGGAGGAGGACAUCCUGCUCGUCAACUACAUCGCCGCGCACGGCGAGGGCCGCUGGAACUCGCUCGCCCGAUCAGCAGGUCUGAAGCGCACCGGCAAGAGCUGCCGCCUCAGGUGGCUCAACUACCUCCGCCCCGACCUCCGCCGCGGCAGCAUCACGCCGCAGGAGCAGCUGCUCAUCCUCGAGCUGCACUCGCGGUGGGGCAACCGCUGGUCCAAGAUCGCGCAGCACCUCCCCGGCCGCACCGACAACGAGAUCAAGAACUACUGGCGCACGCGCGUGCAGAAGCACGCCAAGCAGCUCAAGUGCGACGUCAACAGCCAGCAGUUCAAGGACGUCAUGCGCUACCUCUGGAUGCCCCGCCUCGUCGAGCGCAUCCAGGCCGAGGCGGUGCAGACAGCCGCUGACACGCCCCUGUCGUGGCAACACGGCGCGGACGACGCUCUCUACGAGUCACCAGAGCUCCCUGUCGAUGCGUGCUGGCCAGCGGAGUACGCCGCCGUGGCCGGCGGGCAGCUGCCCAACGCCUCGGUCGCGGAGCUGUCGAGCACUACUACCGCCGGCUCUUCCUCGCCGUCCACCACGGACUCUGGCGCCGGCGCCCAGCCCAGCUGGCCUGCAGCGGUUGACGGUGCCGAGUGGUUCACCACCGCCUGCGACGCCUCCAGCGCCGCCGCCACCAUGUGCGACACGGACCAGCUGAUCCAGCAGCAGCAGCAGCAGGCACCGUCCCAGCUGGCGGGAGCGUGGACGUCCGAGCCGCUGCCGAGCCUUGGGUUCCCCGAGCUGGGCGUCGCGGACUUCGAGAUCGGCAGCUUGGACGUGGACAGCAUCUGGAGCAUGGACGACUUGUGGUACACGCAGCCGCAGUUCGUGUGA